AUUGAACGCUGGCGGCAGGCCUAACACAUGCAAGUCGAACGAGUGGCGGACGGGUGAGUAAUGUCUGGGAAACUGCCUGAUGGCGGGGGAUAACUACUGGCAACGGUAGCUAAUACCGCAUACCAUCAGAUGUGCCCAGAUGGGAUAAGCUAGUUGGUGGGGUAACGGCUCACCAAGGAUACGAUCCCUAGCUGGUCUGAGAGGAUGACCAGCCACACUGGAACUGAGACACGGUCCAGACUCCUACGGGAGGCAGUAGUGGGGAAUAUUGCACAAUGGGCGCAAGCCUGAUGCAGCCAGGCCGCGUGUAUGAAGAAGGCCUUCGGGUUGUAAAGUACUUUCAGCGGGGAGGCGUUACCCGCAGAAGAAGCAACGGCUAACUCCGUGCCAGCAGCCGCGGUAAUUC
rnacentral:rRNA from 1 species